rnacentral:rRNA from 1 species
UACGAAGGGGGCUAGCGUUGUUCGGAAUCACUGGGCGUAAAGCGCACGUAGGCGGAUCUUUAAGUCAGAGGUGAAAUCCCAAGGCUCAACCUUGGAACUGCCUUUGAUACUGGGGAUCUUGAGUCCGGGAGAGGUGAGUGGAACUGCGAGUGUAGAGGUGAAAUUCGUAGAUAUUCGCAAGAACACCAGUGGCGAAGGCGGCUCGCUGGCACGGUACUGACGCUGAGGUGCGAAAGCGUGGGGAGCAAACAGG